rnacentral:rRNA from 1 species
UACGAAGGGGGCUAGCGUUGCUCGGAAUUACUGGGCGUAAAGGGCGCGUAGGCGGACAGUUUAGUCAGAGGUGAAAGCCCCGGGCUCAACCUGGGAAUGGCAUUUGGGACUGCAAGGCUGGAGUUUGGCAGAGGAGACUGGAAUUCCUGGUGUAGCAGUGAAAUGCGUAGAUAUCAGGAGGAACACCGAUGGCGAAGGCAGGUCUCUGGGCUGAAACUGACGCUCAUGCACGAAAGCGUGGGGAGCAAACAGG